rnacentral:rRNA from 1 species
GGACGGGUGAGUAACACGUGGAUAACCUACCUAUAAGACUGGGAUAACUUCGGGAAACCGGAGCUAAUACCGGAUAAUAUAUUGAACCGCAUGGUUCAAUAGUGAAAGACGGUUUUGCUGUCACUUAUAGAUGGAUCCGCGCCGCAUUAGCUAGUUGGUAAGGUAACGGCUUACCAAGGCAACGAUGCGUAGCUGACCUGAGAGGGUGAUCGGCCACACUGGAACUGAGACACGGUCCAG